UGAAGAUGACAUAGGCGGGGAAAACGACGUGUUUAUGUAAUGAAUAUUUUGACCUUAAAAUAUGUAAUGAAUAUAUUUAGGCUUGUGGUAAUCAUCAUUCACACCUGUGCAUCUAACGUUAUGUACUAGAGGAGUAAACUUGUAUCGAGAGCAUUAUUGAAUCUUUGGAAACUAAGAAUGUAUGCUGUAUUCCUCAACAGGUGGCAAUUGUUCCUCUGUAGAUGGUGCAUUUCGAGUGUUAAAAGAUAUUGGUGAGUGGUUCUGGAUUUGAACAUAACUUCAUAACAUGUAGCUAACAUCUUAAGUGAUCACUCUUGGAACGAAGUUUACAUUACCACAAGGUUCCAUCUUAAACACACAUUUGUGAUAUUACACCGUUACACACUCUCGCAGGUGCACAUAUGUUGUCUCUUCUUUUCUGUAGUGGAUUGCAUAGACUGAUGCAGAACGGGAAAACAAAUGGACGGAGGAGUGAAGAGACAUCAAAGUAUAUAAUUGUAUUAUUGACGCCUCCUAAAGACGAACUAUGAUCCUCUAGACCCUAAUCCCAACCUAAGUUUCUCAUCAACGUAUGUGAUCCUAAGCUUCACUUCGCUUUCAAACCCAUAUUUAAAACUCCAGAGAACCAACCUUCAGUUCCGGAUCCUCUAGACUUAGAUUUUAAGUUACAGUUUUAAACCUUUUCAUACAAAACUUCAGUUAAAACAAGCACUGAUCAUGUUGUAAAAAAGUUUUUUUGAUAUGAAUAAUUUAACAUUCUUUCAAAAAACAAAAGAAUAUCACCUGAACCCACUCACUGUCCAACACUUUCAGCUUCCCUACAAAAAAAUCAAACACAAGUUGAAACAUUAAAUACAUAUUGGGUUUUAUUAGCGAGACACAACAAAUCAACAAUUUUAACAAAUAAUUUUAAAAUAUCUAUAUAAAUACAUCAUUUUAAUCACUAUUUUCAGAAUGUACCAUUUUUUGUUAUUCAAAAUGUAUUGUUCUAAUACUAUUACCAUACAAUAGUUUGACUAUUUCUAUAAACAACUUAGUAAGGUAAAAAAAGAUAAACACCAAUAAAAUUACCACAAAACAAGUCAAACAAAUCUAACCAUUUUUACGGAUCACCAUGCAGAAAUGAAAUUUCGAUCUAUCAAUUAAUAAAAAAAGUCUAUAAAUUAAUCAAAUUUAAAAAGAAAUUUCAACCAUCAAACCAGCAAAAUUUAAAUUCAAAAGAAAUAAUAAUAAACAUACGGUGUGUAUCGUAAGAAUAUCACAAGUAAAAACAAUAUGUCGUCAUCACAGUUCGCUAUCUUUUACAUUGUCCUGAUUGCUGUAUUUUCUCUUCAUGAAUUUGUCAGUGGCCAGGUAAGACCCAAUGAUCUACCUGUUAAAAGACAUUGUCAACAAAUGAGUUGCGUUAACGGCACGAUUAAAACUUGCUUUUGUUGUCUCACCAUAAGAAAGACCAAUCUGUGUUAUUGGACCAAAAGGAGAUGUAUGAGACGCUGCGAACCGCAUAGGCCUCGAGCAUGAAUAACCAUUUUUAAUACUUUCUAAUAUCUAUUUUCGUUUUAUAUGCAUAAAACAUACUUAUCUGAAAUCCAAAGAUAUAAGCUAUGCCUAUUGUAUUUGUGUUUACAAACUUUCAAAUUCUAUGUAAUGUCUUUAAGUUAAACUUAUUUUCUCUCCUUUUCA